AUUGAACGCUGGCGGCGUGCUUAACACAUGCAAGUCGAGCGGUAGCAGGCGUAGCAAUACGUGCUGACGAGCGGCGAACGGGUGAGUAAUGCUUCGGAAUCUUCCUAGUAGUGGGGAACAACCUUGGGAAACUCAGGCUAAUACCGCAUACGACCUACGGGUCAAAGCAGGGGAUCGCAAGACCUUGCGCUAUUAGUUGAGCCGAAGUCGGAUUAGCUAGUUGGUGAGGUAAAGGCUCACCAAGGCGACGAUCCGUAGCUGGUCUGAGAGGACGACCAGCCACACUGGAACUGAGACAGAGUCCAGACUCCUACGGGAGGCAGCAGUGGGGAAUAUUGGACAAUGGGGGAGACCCUGAUACAGCGACGCCGCGUGUGUGAAGAAGGCCUGCGGGUUGGAAAGCACUUAUGGUGGGGACAAAAAGAACAGGGCUAAUACGCUUGUGUAUUGAUUUAACCCAGAGAAUAAGCACCGGCUAACUCUGUG
rnacentral:rRNA from 1 species